GACGAGCCACACAAACGUUAUUCGGAAUUACUGGGCUUAAAGGGUGCGUAGGCUGCGCGGAAAGUGGGGUGUGAAAGCCCUCGGCUUAACCGAGGAAUUGCGCUCCAAACUACCGUGCUCGAGGGAGACAGAGGUAAGCGGAACUUCGGGUGGAGCGGUGAAAUGCGUUGAUAUCCGAAGGAACACCGGUGGCGAAAGCGGCUUACUGGGUCUUCUCUGACGCUGAUGCACGAAAGCCAGGGUAGCAAACGGG
rnacentral:rRNA from 1 species